rnacentral:rRNA from 1 species
CCCUUAGAUGUCCGGGGCCGCACGCGUGCUACACUGAGUGGAUCAGCGGGUCAGGUUGCGCGAAAGUGUUUCCUAAUCUUGAAAUCCGCUCGUGAUGGGGAUUGACGGUUGCAAUUUUCCGUCAUGAACGAGGAAUACCUUGUAAGCGCGGGUCAUCAUCCCGCGCUGAAUACGUCCCUGCCCUUUGUACACACCGCCCGUCGCUCCUACCGAUUGAGUGGUCCGGUGAGGCUUUGGGAUCUGAGCAAAAAGAGCGUUUCGCUCGUUUGGCUCGGAAAACUCAGUCGAACCUUAUCAUUUAGAGGAAGGAGAAGUCGUAACA